rnacentral:rRNA from 1 species
GACGAACGCUGGCGGCGUGCUUAACACAUGCAAGUCGAACGGAAAGGCCCUGCUUUUGUGGGGUGCUCGAGUGGCGAACGGGUGAGUAACACGUGAGUAACCUGCCCUUGACUUUGGGAUAACUUCAGGAAACUGGGGCUAAUACCGGAUAGGAGCUCCUGCUGCAUGGUGGGGGUUGGAAAGUUUCGGCGGUUGGGGAUGGACUCGCGGCUUAUCAGCUUGUUGGUGGGGUAGUGGCUUACCAAGGCUUUGACGGGUAGCCGGCCUGAGAGGGUGACCGGCCACAUUGGGACUGAGAUACGGCCCAGACUCCUACGGGAGGCAGCAGUGGGGAAUAUUGCACAAUGGGCGGAAGCCUGAUGCAGCAACGCCGCGUGCGGGAUGACGGCCUUCGGGUUGUAAACCGCUUUCGCCUGUGACGAAGCGUGAGUGACGGUAAUGGGUAAAGAAGCACCGGCUAACUACGUGCCAGCAGCCGCGGUGAUACGUAGGGUGCGAGCGUUGUCCGGAUUUAUUGGGCGUAAAGGGCUCGUAGGUGGUUGAUCGCGUCGGAAGUGUAAUCUUGGGGCUUAACCCUGAGCGUGCUUUCGAUACGGGUUGACUUGAGGAAGGUAGGGGAGAAUGGAAUUCCUGGUGGAGCGGUGGAAUGCGCAGAUAUCAGGAGGAACACCAGUGGCGAAGGCGGUUCUCUGGGCCUUUCCUGACGCUGAGGAGCGAAAGCGUGGGGAGCGAACAGGCUUAGAUACCCUGGUAGUCCACGCUGUAAACGGUGGGUACUAGGUGUGGGGUCCAUUCCACGGGUUCCGUGCCGUAGCUAACGCUUUAAGUACCCCGCCUGGGGAGUACGGCCGCAAGGCUAAAACUCAAAGGAAUUGACGGGGCCCCGCACAAGCGGCGGAGCAUGCGGAUUAAUUCGAUGCAACGCGUAGAACCUUACCUGGGUUUGACGUGGAUCGGGAGCGCUCAGAGAUGGGUGUGCCUCUUUUGGGGUCGGUUCACAGGUGGUGCAUGGCUGUCGUCAGCUCGUGUCGUGAGAUGUUGGGUUAAGUCCCGCAACGAGCGCAACCCUUGUUCACUGUUGCCAGCACGUUAUGGUGGGGACUCAGUGGAGACCGCCGGGGUCAACUCGGAGGAAGGUGGGGAUGACGUCAAGUCAUCAUGCCCCUUAUGUCCAGGGCUUCACGCAUGCUACAAUGGCUGGUACAGAGAGUGGCGAGCCUGUGAGGGUGAGCGAAUCUCGGAAAGCCGGUCUCAGUUCGGAUUGGGGUCUGCAACUCGACCUCAUGAAGUCGGAGUCGCUAGUAAUCGCAGAUCAGCAACGCUGCGGUGAAUACGUUCCCGGGGCU